AACGAACGCUGGCGGCAUGCCUAACACAUGCAAGUCGAACGAGACCUUCGGGUCUAGUGGCGCACGGGUGCGUAACGCGUGGGAACCUGCCCUUAGGUUCGGAAUAACUCCCCGAAAGGGGUGCUAAUACAGGAUAAUGUCUUCGGACCAAAGAUUUAUCGCCUUUGGAUGGGCUCGCGUUGGAUUAGCUAGUUGGUAGGGUAAAAGCCUACCAAGGCGACGAUCCAUAGCUGGUCUGAGAGGAUGAUCAGCCACACUGGGACUGAGACACGGCCCAGACUCCUACGGGAGGCAGCAGUGGGGAAUAUUGGACAAUGGGCGAAAGCCUGAUCCAGCAAUGCCGCGUGAGUGAUGAAGGCCUUAGGGUUGUAAAGCUCUUUUACCCGGGAUGAUAAUGACAGUACCGGGAGAAUAAGCUCCGGCUAACUCCGUG
rnacentral:rRNA from 1 species